UAGAUGCACACAAUUUUUAUUAGAAAUUAUAAGAACAUCAUUUAUUAUUCCCAAAGUUUUUUUGAUAGUAGAGUCUGGAAAAUGUAAAUUAAGGGAACACUCAUGGAUAUCAUUGAGACCAAGUGCAUCACAUAAAGAUUUAGGUAUAGUUGAGACACUAGCACCUAGGUCACACAAAGCGUUGCAUUCACAUUCUUUGAUCUUAAUUUUAAUAAUAGGUUCCCACUCAUCAUGCAACCUUCUAGGAAUAGAGACUUCUAGCUCAAGUUUCUCAUCAUAGGCUUUCACCAUAGGUUCUACUAUAUGUUUAGUAAAAGCUUUCUUUUGUUCAUUGGGUGAGCUAAUAAUGGAUUGCAGCAAGGAAAUAGAUCCUACUAAGGAGAAAAUUUCAUAAUGAAUGUCCUUGUGAUCCAAGAUAGUGGGCACAUAACUAGUUAAAGUUUUGACCUUUCCAACCCACUUUUUUCAAUUUGAUUACUAUAAUCAUCACCAUCCAAGCAAUUGGGAUGCCUUCUAGCUAAAGUGGACUCAUCUCUAGUCCCUUUAUCAUUUUAAUAGCAGAAGUACCAAUCAUUUUAAGAUCUUCAUGAUGAUUAUUAAAGGGUGAAGAUUCUCGUUUAGCAGUCACCCUAUUUACACUACACCAUGACACUACAUUCCCUACACACGUGUGUUUGGAAAAGUCAAUUUUCCCGACCGACUAUUUGUUGAUAAAUUUUUAUCAUGUUGUUGAUCGGUAUUACUCACAUGUAACAACCAACUAUCGGUGAGGAAUGCCGAAAUGUAUAGCAUAUAACCUUUGGUCGGUAAUAAUUGCACUGCUAUCACAUAGUCAGUCGGCAAAUAUUCCUGACCGGCCAUGAGUCGCCAACUGGGAUGCCAAUAUUAUCCGCGUGCGUGCCUGCGAAACUUAGAGGGAAGCCCAUCAGAAAUUGUCAUACCGUGCGCCCGCACAACCCACCUCCGCUAGAAAAACACCACACCGAUGUCUCUGUGCCUCUCUCCCUUAUCUCUUUCUCUCCGAUCUGAGCGACGACGAUGGCUAUCGCAUCCGGUGAUUUUUCCAGCUCUCCGUCCAUCUCUUCCUCCCACCAAUCUACCACCAUCCCCACAUCACUGUUGUUUUUCCAUGUGGAACCCAUACCCAACCCCUCUUCCCCUCCCAUGCUAGCAGAUUUGAGCGGGACAAGGUCCCUUCUAUCCUUAUGGUACGGAACGAGGUGGGAGGCCUCUGCUCCCUUAUCUUAUGGCGACUAGGAGGGUAUGGUUGUUGCCCCAUCUCUCUAAGCCAUCCAAGGCGGUAGCGACGUUCGUAAGCUCUCUCUCACUCUCUCUUUGUGCAGAUUUAAAUCAAAGCAAUGAACCUUCCAUAGCUCGAGUGGCUGGCGCCCCUUCUCUCUACAGAUUGAUCCUCAUAAAAAAAUCAGUGUUGCGUGGAUUCAUGGAAAUAAAGAAGUUUUUGGAGGAUUAAAGUUCAAACCCAAGCCAUCGAUUAAAUUAGGGUCUAUUUACAGUGUGCCAUUGUUAGCAGACUGAAUUGGAUAAUUUUCUUACAUGAUGAAACAGACUUUAAUAUGUUAUGUGGAUGUUUAGGCAGUUACUCAACUACUAACAAUAAUAGAAGGCUAGUGGAACAUGUCCACAGUUAUAUGCCUGCAUCAAGUCAAGUGGAUUUGGAUAGUAGCAUUGAAGAAUAUUCGAUACAGAACUCAAUAAUCAAACCUACCUACAUGUUAACAUGUGGGGGUGCUACUGAAUAGCUGUACAUGAAGCUGGAAAGAGGAAGAACUGAGGAUUGUUCAAGAAGUUGCUUCUAUUUGUGCACAAUGGCAUCGUAGCCAGGGUUCAAUCGACACAUGGUGUGUCAACAUUUGGCUAUCUACCUCAAGGGCCUGCUGAUAUGUCCACAACGUAUCCAUAAUUUUUGAUUGUUCCAUGCUGAUAUAUUAUCAUUCUAAGAUACUUUUUGGGUAUUUA